UACGGGGGGGGCAAGCGUUGUUCGGAAUUACUGGGCGUAAAGGGCUCGUAGGUGGCCAACUAAGUCAGACGUGAAAUCCCUCGGCUUAACCGGGGAACUGCGUCUGAUACUGGAUGGCUUGAGUUUGGGAGAGGGACGCGGAAUUCCAGGUGUAGCGGUGAAAUGCGUAGAUAUCUGGAGGAACACCGGUGGCGAAGGCGGCGUCCUGGACCAACACUGACACUGAGGAGCGAAAGCCAGGGGAGACAAACGGG
rnacentral:rRNA from 1 species